CAAUAGCGUAUAUUAAAGUUGUUGCGGUAAAAAAGCUCGUAGUUGGAUUUCUACCGGAGAUAGCCGGUCGGGUCUUCGACCUUGUAUCUGGUUUUGUCUUUGGUAUCCUCAUAGGGAACGUUUCUGCGCUUUAUUGCGUGGUGCGGUAUCUAUGACUUUUACUUUGAGGAAAUUAGAGUGUUCACGGCAGGCAAACGCCUUGAAUAUAUUAGCAUGGAAUAAUAACAUAGGAUCUUCGUCCUAUUUUGUUGGUUUCUAGGGCUAAGAUAAUGAUUAAUAGGGAUAAUUGGGGGCAUCUGUAUCAACGCGUCAGAGGUGGAAUUCUUGGAUUGCGUUGCGACAAACUACUGCGAAAGCAUUUGCCAAGGAUGUUUUCAUUGA
rnacentral:rRNA from 1 species